GACGUAGGAUGCAAGCGUUGUCCGGAAUUAUUGGGCGUAAAGAGUUCGUAGGCGGUUAUGUAAGUCUGGUGUUAAAGACGGGAGCUCAACUCCCGCAUGGCAUUGGAAACUGGGUGACUAGAGUGUGGUAGAGGUCUCGGGAAUUCCAGGUGUAGCGGUGAAAUGCGUAGAUAUCUGGAGGAACACCAGUGGCGAAAGCGCGAGACUGGGCCAUAACUGACGCUGAGGAACGAAAUCCAGGGUAGCAAAAGGG
rnacentral:rRNA from 1 species